rnacentral:rRNA from 1 species
UACAGAGGUCUCGAGCGUUUGUUCGGAUUCAUUUGGGCGUAAAGGGCUCGUAGGCGGUCCAUCGCGUCGGGGAGUGAAAAGCUGGGGGCUCAACCCCCAGUCCUGCUUUCGAUACGGGUGGACUAGAGGUAUGCAGGGGAGAACGGAAUUCCUGGUGUAGCGGUGAAAUGCGCAGAUAUCAGGAGGAACACCGGUGGCGAAGGCGGUUCUCUGGGCAUUACCCUGACGUGAGGAGCGAAAGCGUGGGGGAGCAAACAGG